UGCAAUCGACAACGCGCUUACCAGAUA
rnacentral:sRNA from 1 species